CGGAAGGAUCAUUGUCAAAUCCUCGUACCGAAUGACCUGCGAACACGUUCCGAAAAUCACAAGCGCUGUUGCGCCCUUGCUCGGUGUGGGUCGGUGACUUGUUGCCGGACGCGUCGAGCAUCGAAAACAAAAUCCGGCGCGGGAAGCGCCAAGGACUAGCGAAAUAGAGGACGGCCUUCCCGCGGCAUCCUGGCCGCGGGGAUUAAAAAGGGUCUCCAAAUGAAAAUGUUGUAUAAUACAGUACGACUCUCGGCAACGGAUAUCUAGGCUCUCGCAUCGAUGAAGAACGUAGCAAACUGCGAUAGUUGGUGUGAAUUGCAGAAUCCCGUGAACCAUGGAGUCUUUGAACGCAAGUUGCGCCCGAAGCCAUUAGGCCGAGGGCACGUCUGCCUGGGCGUCACACGCAUUGCGUCGUCCCCCCCUCACCCGUGUCCCGAAAGGGUCGCGGGCCCUUAGCGUGGGGGGCGGAAGUUGGCUUCCCGUGCAGCGUUUGCGGCUAGCCUGAAACAACGGUUCCCUCGGCGCGGACGUCGCGACAAGUGGUGGUCGUCGAGAUUGUACGCGAGUUGCCGGCAAGCUGCGUCGAGGAGAGCAUUUGGACCCCGUGCGAGACGAGUCCCUUCAGCGAGGGGCAAUCGCAACGAUUGCGACCCCAGGUCAGGC
rnacentral:sRNA from 1 species